UACGGAGGGUGCAAGCGUUAUCCGGAUUCACUGGGUUUAAAGGGUGCGUAGGCGGGCAGGUAAGUCCGUGGUGAAAUCUCUGAGCUUAACUCAGAAACUGCCAUGGAUACUAUUUGUCUUGAAUACUGUGGAGGUAAGCGGAAUAUGUCAUGUAGCGGUGAAAUGCUUAGAUAUGACAUAGAACACCAAUUGCGAAGGCAGCUUGCUACACAGUUAUUGACGCUGAGGCACGAAAGCGUGGGGAGCAAACAGG
rnacentral:rRNA from 1 species